rnacentral:rRNA from 1 species
UACGUAGGCACCAAGCGUUGUCCGGAUUUAUUGGGCGUAAAGAGCUCGUAGGCGGUUCGGUAAGUCGGGUGUGAAAACUCUGGGCUCAACCCAGAGCCGCCACCCGAUACUGCUGUGACUCGAGUGCGGUAGGGGAGCGGGGAAUUCCUGGUGUAGCGGUGAAAUGCGCAGAUAUCAGGAGGAACACCGGUGGCGAAGGCGGCUCACUGGCUCAUAUCUGACGCUCAGGCGCGACAGCGUGGGGAGUCAAACAGG